UUAGACAAGGAAGAGAAAAUAUCAAUCCUCGCUCAAGAAGACAUCUCAUCUGUCAUCAGAGAAGCACCAGUGUUAGUCUCAGAGCGAGACAUGGAGAGAUGGAAGAAAAGGGAGCUGGAGCUAGCCCAAGAAAAACCAAAGUCAACUGAAGUGAAUGCUUGAAUGUCUUGGAAUAUUGUAAAAAGGCACUGUCUGUAGAUGGAAAAGGGACUAUAUCACUAAGCUGAUUCAGUUCUACAUGUUCAAGU